CACCACUCAAGCCUGGCUUGGUAUUGGGCGAUAGGGUUCCCCUACGCCCCAAUUUGACCGGCUGGACCGUCUCUAUCUCAGCGUUGUGACCACAAAUUCGCUGGCGAGAAGGAGGGCCCGCGCCGUUAAACUCUUCUCUCAGG
rnacentral:misc_RNA from 1 species